rnacentral:rRNA from 1 species
UAAGGAAUAUUGGUCAAUGGACGAAAGUCUGAACCAGCCAUGCCGCGUGGAGGAUGAAGGUCCUCUGGAUUGUAAACUUCUUUUAUAUGGGGCGAAAAAAGGCUUUUCUAAGUCGUCUGACGGUACCAUAUGAAUAAGCACCGGCUAACUCCGUGCCAGCAGCCGCGGUAAUACGGAGGGGGCAAGCGUUAUCCGGAUUCACUGGGUUUAAAGGGAGCGUAGGUGGGCUGGUAAGUCAGUGGUGAAAUCUCCGAGCUUAACUCGGAAAUUGCCGUUGAUACUAUUAGUCUUGAAUAUUGGGGAGGUUAGCGGAAUAUGUCAUGUAGCGGUGAAAUGCUUAGAUAUGACAUGGAACACCAAUUGCGAAGGCAGCUGGCUACGCAUAUAUUGACACUGAGGCUCGAAAGCGUGGGGAUCAAACA